AUACGUAGGGUGCAAGCGUUAAUCGGAAUUACUGGGCGUAAAGCGUGCGCAGGCGGUUUUGUAAGACAGUGGUGAAAUCCCCGGGCUCCACCUGGGAACUGCCAUUGUGACUGCAAGGCUGGAGUGCGGCAGAGGGGGAUGGAAUUCCGCGUGUAGUAGUGAAAUGCGUAGAUAUGCGGAGGAACACCGAUGGCGAAGGCAAUCCCCUGGGCCUGCACUGACGCUCAUGCACGAAAGCGUGGGGAGCAAACAGGAUUAGAUACCCUGGUAGUCCACGCCCUAAACGAUGUCAACUGGUUGUUGGGGAUUUAUUUUCUCAGUAACGAAGCUAACGCGUGAAGUUGACCGCCUGGGGAGUACGGCCGCAAGGUUAAAACUCAAAUGAAUUGACGGGG
rnacentral:rRNA from 1 species